rnacentral:rRNA from 1 species
AACGAACGCUGGCGGCAUGCCUAACACAUGCAAGUCGAACGAGACCUUCGGGUCUAGUGGCGCACGGGUGCGUAACGCGUGGGAACCUGCCCUUAGGUUCGGAAUAACUCCCCGAAAGGGGUGCUAAUACCAGAUAAUGUCUUCGGACCAAAGAUUUAUCGCCUUUGGAUGGGCCCGCGUUGGAUUAGCUAGUUGGUAGGGUAAAAGCCUACCAAGGCGACGAUCCAUAGCUGGUCUGAGAGGAUGAUCAGCCACACUGGGACUGAGACACGGCCCAGACUCCUACGGGAGGCAGCAGUGGGGAAUAUUGGACAAUGGGCGAAAGCCUGAUCCAGCAAUGCCGCGUGAGUGAUGAAGGCCUUAGGGUUGUAAAGCUCUUUUACCCGGGAUGAUAAUGACAGUACCGGGAGAAUAAGCGCCGGCUAACUCCGUG